CGUUUAGGGGUAAACCUGAGAAACCCGAAAGGUCGAAGGGAGAAAUUCAUUCGUGUUUCGUUGUCGGCAUCAGGUGGAUUGUGUGACGAGGAAAGUUUUUCGGAAUUUUCAUUGCGCCGUUCAUUUGUAUGAACCGAUAACGAAUGCGUGCACUUUUCUCCUGGUAGGACAUCGCGAUCCGUCGAGUAUCGGUCUAUGGCUUAAUGGUGGAGACCAUUUAUUUCUAUUUUUAAUAGAAAUAAAUGGACCCGUUUUGUUUCCUGACCGAUUUGCUUAACGGUAUCAAAAUCAAGUUGGUUUAAUCGGUCGCUUUUUCUAAGCGUUCAACUUGUUGCAAGCGCACUAAAUGUUUAAUUGAAAAUCGGGCCUAGUACCGGUUUCAAUCUUUAGUGACUGUUGGCAAUAAUGUUCUUGAACAGGCCGUCUAAAUAUUAGAAAACCGAUCAGCGAUGCUAUAGCUUUGGGUAAUUUCAGGACCCGUCUUGAAACACGGACCAAGGAGUCUAGCAUGUACGCAAGUCAUUGGGAUAUUUACUAAACCUAAAGGCGUAAUGAAAGUAAAGAUUUUUCUUUAGAAAAAUCAAGGAAAGACAGGUGUAUCAAUUUUCAUUGAUAUACUUUGCAUUUCCGGGGCGUUUCAUUCUCAUUGCGAGUAGAGGCGCACCAAGAGCGUACACGCUGGGACCCGAAAGAUGGUGAACUAUGCCUGGUCAGGAGAAA
rnacentral:rRNA from 1 species